rfam:Toxocara canis scaffold740, whole genome shotgun sequence.
UCCCAUGUGGUCUAGUGGUUAAGAUUCGUGGCUUUCAAACACGCCGCCCGGGUUCGAUUACCGGCAUGGGAA